AGGUCAAGUAGAAAAGGGCGCAUGGUGAAUGCCUUGGCACUAGAAGCCGAUGAAGGACGUGACGAACCACGAAAGGCUUCGGGGAGCAGUAAGUAAGCAAUGAUCCGGAGAUAUCCGAAUGGGGGAACCCAAUACCGCGAGGUAUUAUCAUUAACUGUUAAGGUUAAUGAAGGAAGACGCAGUGAACUGAAACAUCUAAGUAGCUGCAGGAAGAGAAAGAAAAAUCGAUUUCCCAAGUAGCGGCGAGCGAACAGGAAAGAGCCCAAACCAGCUGGCUUGCCAGUUGGGGUUGUAGGACUGCGAUAUAGUACUUGAAGUGAUAGCAGAAUUAUCUGGAAAGAUAAGCCAGAGAGGGUGAGAGCCCCGUACGCGAAAUUGCGGAGAGACUUAGCAGGAUCCUGAGUAGGUCGGGACACGAGGAAUCCCGAUUGAAACCGCGAGGACCAUCUCGCAAGGCUAAAUACUAACUAGUGACCGAUAGUGAACCAGUACCGUGAGGGAAAGGUGAAAAGAACCCCGGAAGGGGAGUGAAAGAGAACCUGAAACCGUGUGCCUACAAGUAGUCAGAGCACAUUAAAGUGUAAUGGCGUGCCUUUUGUAGAAUGAACCGGCGAGUUACGUUAUGGUGCAAGGUUAAGUCAGAAAAGACGGAGCCGGAGCGAAAGCGAGUCUGAAUAGGGCGAAAGAGUAUCAUGACGUAGACCCGAAACCAAGUGACCUACCCAUGACCAGGUUGAAGGCGUGGUAAAACACGCUGGAGGACCGAACCCACGUGAGUUAAAAAUCGCGGGGAUGAGUUGUGGGUAGCGGUGAAAUUCCAAACGAACUUGGAGAUAGCUGGUUCUCUCCGAAAUAGCUUUAGGGCUAGCCUCGUGUGAAUGAUAAUGGAGGUAGAGCGCUGUUUGGACUAGGGGCCCGUCAGGGGUUACUGAAUCCAGAUAAACUCCGAAUGCCAGAUAUCAAUGCACGGGAGUCAGACUGCGAGUGAUAAGAUCCGUAGUCGAAAGGGAAACAGCCCAGAUCACCAGUUAAGGUCCCCAAAUCUAUGCUAAGUGGAAAAGGAUGUGGAGUUGCGUAGACAACUAGGAUGUUGGCUUAGAAGCAGCCACCAUUUAAAGAGUGCGUAAUAGCUCACUAGUCGAGUGACGCUGCGCCGAAAAUGUACCGGGGCUAAGCAUAGUACCGAAACUGUGGAUGCAUAUAUUAUAUGCGUGGUAGGAGAGCGUUCUAAGUGCGGCGAAGUUAGAUCGAGAGGACUAAUGGAGCGCUUAGAAGUGAGAAUGCCGGUAUGAGUAGCGAAAGAUAGGUGAGAAUCCUAUCCGCCGAAAGACUAAGGUUUCCUGGGGCAGGCUCGUCCGCCCAGGGUAAGUCGGGACCUAAGGUAAGGCCGAGAGGCGUAGCCGAUGGACAACAGGUAGAAAUUCCUGUACUGAAAUUGUUCGAUAUGAGCAAAGGAGGGACGCAGGAGGCUAAUGACGCAUGUUGCUGGAAAUACAUGUGCAAGCAGUAAGAAAAAAGAUGAGUCAAAUGCUUGUCUUUAGAUUUCAAGCUGUGAUGCGGAGCGAAAUAAAAGUAGCGAAGGUCAUGAUGUCACACUGCCAAGAAAAGCUUCUAGCCAGAACAAUUUUACCCGUACCGCAAACCGACACAGGUAGUCGAGUGGAGAACACUCAGGUGAGCGAGAGAACUCUCGUUAAGGAACUCGGCAAAAUGACCCCGUAACUUCGGGAGAAGGGGUGCUGAUAGUAAAAUAUCAGCCGCAGUGAAUAGGCCCAAACAACUGUUUAUCAAAAACACAGGUAUCUGCAAAAUCGUAAGAUGACGUAUAGGUGCUGACACCUGCCCGGUGCUGGAAGGUUAAGAGGAGAGCUUAGCGUAAGCGAAGGUUUGAAUUGAAGCCCCAGUAAACGGCGGCCGUAACUAUAACGGUCCUAAGGUAGCGAAAUUCCUUGUCGGGUAAGUUCCGACCUGCACGAAAGGUGUAAUGAUUUGGGCACUGUCUCAACGAGAGACUCGGUGAAAUUAUAAUACCCGUGAAGAUGCGGGUUACCCGCGACAGGACGGAAAGACCCCAUGGAGCUUUA
rnacentral:rRNA from 1 species